rnacentral:rRNA from 1 species
UACGUAGGUGGCGAGCGUUGUCCGGAUUUACUGGGCGUAAAGCGCGCGCAGGCGGUUCUGUAAGUCCUGGGUGAAAUCGCCCGGCUCAACUGGGCGGGGGCCUGGGGGACUGCGGGACUGGAGGGGCCUAGAGGCCGGUGGAACUCCCGGUGUAGUGGUGAAAUGCGUAGAGAUCGGGAAGAACACCAGUGGCGAAGGCGGUGAGCUGGGCAGUUGCUGACACUGAGGCGCGACAGCGUGGGGAGCGAUCCGG